rnacentral:rRNA from 1 species
GAUGAACGCUAGCUACAGGCUUAACACAUGCAAGUCGAGGGGAAACGAUAGAGAAAGCUUGCUUUUUCUAGGCGUCGACCGGCGCACGGGUGAGUAACGCGUAUCCAACCUGCCCAUCACUUGGGGAUAACCUUGCGAAAGUAAGACUAAUACCCAAUGACGUCUCUAGAAGACAUCUGAAAGAGAUUAAAAGAUUUAUCGGUGAUGGAUGGGGAUGCGUCUGAUUAGCUUGUUGGCGGGGUAACGGCCCACCAAGGCGACGAUCAGUAGGGGUUCUGAGAGGAAGGUCCCCCCACAUUGGAACUGAGACACGGUCCAAAACUCCUACGGGA